rnacentral:rRNA from 1 species
CAGUCGCCGCGGGAAUACGAAGGGUGCAAGCGUUAAUCGGAAUUACUGGGCGUAAAGCGUGCGUAGGCGGUGAGUUAAGUCUGCUGUGAAAUCCCCGGGCUCAACCUGGGAAUGGCAGUGGAUACUGGCUCGCUAGAGUGUGUCAGAGGAUGGUGGAAUUCCCGGUGUAGCGGUGAAAUGCGUAGAGAUCGGAAGGAACAUCUGUGGCGAAGGCGACUAUCUGGGCCAACACUGACACUGAGGCACGAAAGCGUGGGGAGCAAACAGGAUUAGAUACCCGGGUAGUCCCUGUCUCUUAUAA